rnacentral:rRNA from 1 species
CACGGAGUUAGCCGAUGCUUUUUCUUCGGAUACACGCAGUCCGGGACACGUCCCGGGUUUUGUUCUCCGACAAAAGAGGUUUACAACCCAUAGGGCCGUCUUCCCUCACGCGGCUUGGCUGGUUCAGGAUCUCUCCCAUUGACCAAUAUUCCUCACUGCCGCCUCCCGUAGGAGUCUGGUCCGUGUCUCAGUACCAGUGUGGGGGACCUUCCUCUCAGAACCCCUACGCAUCGUCGCCACGGUGGGCCGUUACCCCGCCGUCAAGCUAAUGCGCCGCAUGCCCAUCCUCUUCCGAUGAAUCUUUCCUCGAUCUCGGAUGCCCGAAACCGAUAUACGCGGGAUUAGCCUCCCUUUCGGAAGGUUGUCCCCCUGAAGAGGGCAGGUUGCAUACGUGUUACUCACCCGUGCGCCGGUCGCCGGCAAGGAAAGCAAGCUUCCCUCCCGAUGCCCCUCGACUUGCAUGUGUUAAGCCUGCCGCUAGCGUUCAUCCUGAGCCAGGAUCAAACUC